ensembl:lncRNA
AUUAUUAUUAGUAGUAGUAGUAGUAUUAAUAUUUCGUUACAAGGCUAUUGUCCCAGCUAGGCCCGUUUAGAAGGUUUUAGCCUCCUCCGUCACUCAGCUCUUCCUAGUUAUAUGAAACAAGUGAAAAUCAGGGCUUCGUGCAUUCCUUGGAGUUGUACAGAAAGAAAAAAGAAGAACCGAGGCACCUGAAUCAAACUUAUUUUUACCAGAUGUGCUUCGGUAUUUUUCUUUUAAAGUCACGUGAAGCAGCGAGCAGAUGUUUUAGCUGCAGCUGGGGGUCCGCCUUCGCGAGAGCACAGCCGCAGAACAGCAGCUCUGACACAAAGCGCUUGGAUUUUUUCCUUAAUCAAGAAAGAGAAGAAGUUUAGACGCUGUUUUUUUAAAUGGAGAGUUUGGAGUUGUUUUGUUGGUGUUGUUAUCGAAGCUAGGAAGAAGACGAGCGCUCUCCUCCCCUUCUCUUCCCCCUCCUGCUCUGCUCUUCUGCUCGGGGAUUUCUCUUUCUGAUAGACGACUGUGCAGGAUUUGCUUUUCCUUUCUCGAGGAGAAGAGAGACAGAGACAAUGGAGAUGUUUUACACCUGGUGCUAUACAUACAGAGAGAGAGGGGUACAGAGAGAACCAGUGACUAAACGAGCCAGUGGAGGACUGGAAACCACCAUGAGCUAUGAGCCGAUCUUCUUGUGGCUUUGACCGUCCCUAUCUUCAGUCCCAAGGAAAAAAAUUCUCAGGAUGAUGGUUAAUGGAGCACAUUUUGUCUUGGUGUUAAAGGAAUACUCCAGCGGUUUUCAACCAAAUCCUAAUCUACUGCAUCUGUAGCCUUUGAAUGAUGCCACAAGGAAUAGUUUCUACAGGGGCAGUUGCUGAAUUGUUGAAUAAAUAUUAAAAAACUAUUAUUAUAUAGCCUAAAUAAAUUCAAGAAACAUGUUGGAUUCCAACAAUAAAGGUUUUAAGAUGAAAAAGAUAGACAAGUCUUUCCACAGAUAUUCUUACAGAUUUCUUUCCCACUUUCCAAUACAAUAAAAAGACAUUUCAGUUCCUUAGGGUUUUUUCCCCCAAAGGUUUUAUUUAUGUUGGUCAUGUUGGAUCCAUAUCAUCAUCAAUGAAUUCUCAAUACAGAAGCCGUUGAUUAAUAUUCAACAGACGUUGAUUAAUAUUCAAUAUUAAAAACCAUAAAAAUGGCUUUGGGCCUCAAUUUAUAUAAACAGUUUUGCUAUGCUGGCUUAGGACUACAAAUGCCACAAAGGGUUUUGCACUCGAGUCUCCAUCAGUGGACAGUGAAUGAGUUCAACAAAACAGGAAUGAUGUAAAAAUUGUAAUGAAUUUCCUGGUUAGACAAUUGCACAAUUUAACCAUGUAGUACACAGUUAUAGAAGAGAAUUAUUUAUAAUCGCACUAUCCGGUCUCACCCGGAUGCGGAUGGGUUCCCUUUUGAGUCCGGUUCCUCUCGAGGAUUCUUCCGCAUAUCGUCUCAGGGAGUUUUUCCUUUCCACCGUCACCUCUGGAUUGCUCAUUAGGGAUAAAUUCAUACAUUUAAAAUCUAAAUCCUGAAUUGAUAUAUUUCUGUAAAGCUGCUUUGGGACAAUGUCCACUGUUAAUAGUGCUAUACAAAUAAAAUAAAAAACAUAAGGAGUAAGGAGAAAAAAACACAUAAGGAGUAAGGAGAUGGCUAUUCAGCACGUGUGGAUGGAGUCUCCAGUGUCAGCACUUUGUAAGAAUUCAGUAAGUUUUAAGUAUUAAAUGUAACCAUAACCAGCUAAAAAGUGCAGUGUUCAUUGAUAAAUUGGGGGGGGGGGGUUCAUAUAACUCAAGUUGUAUUCAACUUAAUUAUUUUUCCUAGAACAACAUGCCUCAUCAUGUUUUAUUCCUAAUUAAAGAUUAAUUUUCAAAUUCUGAUGGCAGGAUUCAUUAAAUUUGAAUGUUCUACAGAAAUACAGAUAAACAUUUCCAGACAGAAUUCAACAACUGCCCUUGGACUUCCAUUAAAAGUGAGAUUUGAAUAAAC